rnacentral:rRNA from 1 species
ACCCCUACGGGGGGCAGCAGUGGGGAAUAUUGCACAAUGGGGGAAACCCUGAUGCAGCCAUGCCGCGUGUGUGAAGAAGGCCUUCGGGUUGUAAAGCACUUUCAGUCAGGAGGAAAGGGAUGUAGUUAAUACCUGCAUCCUGUGACGUUACUGACAGAGGAAGCACCGGCUAACUCCGUGCCAGCAGCCGCGGUAA